AGUCAUAAAACCACUAGUGAAUAAGGGGUGGCCAAGUUCUGGUGUCAGCCGCCGCGGUAAACCCAGCACCUCAAGUGGUCAGGAGGAUUAUUGGGCCUAAAGCAUCCGUAGCCGGCUCUGUAAGUUUUCGGUUAAAUCCAUGUGCCCAACGCAUGGGCCGUCGAAAAUACUGCAUAGCUAGGGAGUGGGAGAGGUAGACGGUACUCGGUAGGAAGGGGUAAAAUCCUUUGAUCUAUCGAUGACCACCUGUGGCGAAGGCGGUCUACCAGAACACGUUCGACGGUGAGGGAUGAAAGCUGGGGGAGCAAACCGGAUUAGAUACCCGGGUAGUCCCAGCUGUAAACGAUGCAGACUCGAUGAUGCAUUGGCAUAUAGCCAGUGCAGUGUCGCAGGGAAGCCGUUAAGUCUGCCGCUUGGGAAGUACGUACGCAAGUAUGAAACUUAAAGGAAUUGGCGGGGGAGCACCACAAGGGGUGAAGCCUGCGGUUCAAUUGGAGUCAACGCCAGAAAUCUUACCCGGAGAGACAGCAGAAUGAAGGUCAAGCUGAAGACUUUACCAGACAAGCUGAGAGGUGGUGCAUGGCCGUCGCCAGCUCGUGCCGUGAGAUGUCCUGUUAAGUCAGGUAACGAGCGAGAUCCUCGCCACUAGUUGCUAUCAUUAUUCUCAGGAAUAGUGGGGCGAAUUAGUGGGACUGCCGUUGUUAAAACGGAGGAAGGAGGGGGCUACGGCAGGUCAGUAUGCCCCGAAACUCUGGGGCCACACGCGGGCUGCAAUGGUAGCGACAAUGAGCUCCAAACUCGAAAGAGAGUGGCAAUCUCUAAACGCUACCACAGUUAUGACUGAGGGCUGUAACUCGCCCUCACGAAUAUGGAAUCCCUAGUAACCGCGUGUCAUUACCGCGCGGUGAAUACGUCCCUGCUCCUUGCACACACCGCCCGUCGUUUCAUCGAAGUUUGCUUUUAGCGAGGUGAUGUUUAAUGACCA
rnacentral:rRNA from 1 species